rnacentral:rRNA from 1 species
GAUGAACGCUGGCGGCGUGCUUAACACAUGCAAGUCGAACGAAGCAUUUGCGACAGAUUUUUUCGGAAUGAAGUUGCUUAUGACUGAGUGGCGGACGGGUGAGUAACGCCUGGGUAACCUGCCUUGUACUGGGGGAUAGCAGCUGGAAACGGCUGGUAAUACCGCAUAAGCGCACAAUGUUGCAUGACAUGGUGUGAAAAACUCCGGUGGUAUAAGAUGGACCCGCGUCUGAUUAGCUAGUUGGUGAGAUAACAGCCCACCAAGGCGACGAUCAGUAGCCGACCUGAGAGGGUGACCGGCCACAUUGGGACUGAGACACGGCCCAGACUCCUACGGGAGGCAGCAGUGGGGAAUAUUGCACAAUGGAGGAAACUCUGAUGCAGCGACGCCGCGUGAGUGAAGAAGUAAUUCGUUAUGUAAAGCUCUAUCAGCAGGGAAGAUAGUGACGGUACCUGACUAAGAAGCUCCGGCUAAAUACGUG